GCUGGAGUGGCUCAGUCGGUAGAGCAAUUGAUUCGUAAUCAAUAGGUCGAGUGUUCGAUUCACUUCUCCAGCA
rfam:Corallococcus sp. CAG:1435 genomic scaffold, scf13